rnacentral:rRNA from 1 species
AGAGUUUGAUCAUGGCUCAGAUUGAACGCUGGCGGCAGGCUUAACACAUGCAAGUCGAGCGGGGGAAGGUAGCUUGCUACCGGACCUAGCGGCGGACGGGUGAGUAAUGCUUAGGAAUCUGCCUAUUAGUGGGGGACAACAUCUCGAAAGGGAUGCUAAUACCGCAUACGUCCUACGGGAGAAAGCAGGGGAUCUUCGGACCUUGCGCUAAUAGAUGAGCCUAAGUCGGAUUAGCUAGUUGGUGGGGUAAAGGCCUACCAAGGCGACGAUCUGUAGCGGGUCUGAGAGGAUGAUCCGCCACACUGGGACUGAGACACGGCCCAGACUCCUACGGGAGAAAGCAGGGGAUCUUCGGACCUUGCGCUAAUAGAUGAGCCUAAGUCGGAUUAGCUANUUGCAAAGGGAAUGAGAUGGUCUAUAAUGCACAUCCAUCGGCGGUGAUGCAGAUAGAAACUUGUUGAAAAACAGUUACUUGUGAUUAGAUUGGUUGCUUUAAGUGAUGAAUUUGAUGGGAAGUUGGUUUAGAGAAUAAGUUUUAAAAAUAUCGAAAUUACCUGUUGACUUUUAAGAGAUUAAGAGUAAUAUAGCCGACCUAGCUUGCUGGUGACGAACCAGUAAGAAGAUCAUUAAGAGAAUUGAAGAACAACUUGUGUGGAUUUUUACUGAUUGAUUAAUCGAAAUAAUUUUCAUUGAUUGAUUGGUUUAAAUUACUCGAAGUUUAUUUGAGCGAAAUUUAAGUCAGUAAUUGAUGAGCCAGAAUUGGUACCUUGUCUUUAAAUAAGGUACAAAAUGAUUUUAACUGAAGAGUUUGAUCAUGGCUCAGAUUGAACGCUGGCGGCAGGCUUAACACAUGCAAGUCGAGCGGGGGAAGGUAGCUUGCUACCGGACCUAGCGGCGGACGGGUGAGUAAUGCUUAGGAAUCUGCCUAUUAGUGGGGGACAACAUCUCGAAAGGGAUGCUAAUACCGCAUACGUCCUACGGGAGAAAGCAGGGGAUCUUCGGACCUUGCGCUAAUAGAUGAGCCUAAGUCGGAUUAGCUAGUUGGUGGGGUAAAGGCCUACCAAGGCGACGAUCUGUAGCGGGUCUGAGAGGAUGAUCCGCCACACUGGGACUGAGACACGGCCCAGACUCCUACGGGAGGCAGCAGUGGGGAAUAUUGGACAAUGGGGGGAACCCUGAUCCAGCCAUGCCGCGUGUGUGAAGAAGGCCUUAUGGUUGUAAAGCACUUUAAGCGAGGAGGAGGCUACUUUAGUUAAUACCUAGAGAUAGUGGACGUUACUCGCAGAAUAAGCACCGGCUAACUCUGUGCCAGCAGCCGCGGUAAUACAGAGGGUGCGAGCGUUAAUCGGAUUUACUGGGCGUAAAGCGUGCGUAGGCGGCUUAUUAAGUCGGAUGUGAAAUCCCCGAGCUUAACUUGGGAAUUGCAUUCGAUACUGGUGAGCUAGAGUAUGGGAGAGGAUGGUAGAAUUCCAGGUGUAGCGGUGAAAUGCGUAGAGAUCUGGAGGAAUACCGAUGGCGAAGGCAGCCAUCUGGCCUAAUACUGACGCUGAGGUACGAAAGCAUGGGGAGCAAACAGGAUUAGAUACCCUGGUAGUCCAUGCCGUAAACGAUGUCUACUAGCCGUUGGGGCCUUUGAGGCUUUAGUGGCGCAGCUAACGCGAUAAGUAGACCGCCUGGGGAGUACGGUCGCAAGACUAAAACUCAAAUGAAUUGACGGGGGCCCGCACAAGCGGUGGAGCAUGUGGUUUAAUUCGAUGCAACGCGAAGAACCUUACCUGGCCUUGACAUACUAGAAACUUUCCAGAGAUGGAUUGGUGCCUUCGGGAAUCUAGAUACAGGUGCUGCAUGGCUGUCGUCAGCUCGUGUCGUGAGAUGUUGGGUUAAGUCCCGCAACGAGCGCAACCCUUUUCCUUACUUGCCAGCAUUUCGGAUGGGAACUUUAAGGAUACUGCCAGUGACAAACUGGAGGAAGGCGGGGACGACGUCAAGUCAUCAUGGCCCUUACGGCCAGGGCUACACACGUGCUACAAUGGUCGGUACAAAGGGUUGCUACACAGCGAUGUGAUGCUAAUCUCAAAAAGCCGAUCGUAGUCCGGAUUGGAGUCUGCAACUCGACUCCAUGAAGUCGGAAUCGCUAGUAAUCGCGGAUCAGAAUGCCGCGGUGAAUACGUUCCCGGGCCUUGUACACACCGCCCGUCACACCAUGGGAGUUUGUUGCACCAGAAGUAGCUAGCCUAACUGCAAAGAGGGCGGUUACCACGGUGUGGCCGAUGACUGGGGUGAAGUCGUAACAAGGUAGCCGUAGGGGAACCUGCGGCUGGAUCACCU